rnacentral:lncRNA from 1 species
AGAAAGAGAACGUAAAAUCUUGUUUACGAGUUCAAAAUCCGAAAAACAUUUUCCAAGAGCUCUUAAACUAUUGACGACAUCCGUGAAACGGGUGUACAUGUCGCCUAUAGUCUCGCUUGGUUGCAUUCGAAAAAGCUCAAAAUCUUGCAAUAAAAUGUUAACUUUCGAGUCUUUGACUCUACUAGUUCCCUCGUGCGUGAUUUCAAGUGUUCGC